GAUGAACGCUGGCGGCGUGCCUAAUACAUGCAAGUCGAGCGAACGGACGAGAAGCUUGCUUUUCUGAUGUUAGCGGCGGACGGGUGAGUAACACGUGGAUAACCUACCUAUAAGACUGGGAUAACUUCGGGAAACCGGAGCUAAUACCGGAUAAUAUUUUGAACCGCAUGGUUCAAAAGUGAAAGACGGUCUUGCUGUCACUUAUAGAUGGAUCCGCGCUGCAUUAGCUAGUUGGUAAGGUAACGGCUUACCAAGGCAACGAUGCAUAGCCGACCUGAGAGGGUGAUCGGCCACACUGGAACUGAGACACGGUCCAGACUCCUACGGGAGGCAGCAGUAGGGAAUCUUCCGCAAUGGGCGAAAGCCUGACGGAGCAACGCCGCGUGAGUGAUGAAGGUCUUCGGAUCGUAAAACGCUGUUAUUAGGGAAGAACAUAUGUGUAAGUAACUGUGCACAUCUUGACGGGACCUAAUCAGAAAGCCACGGCUAACUACGU
rnacentral:rRNA from 1 species